GGUAAGUCCUGAACACAAAUUUGAAGAUUGCUUCAUGCGACUCACAGAUGGGAAUGUAGCAAGAGAGAGCAAGAAGUAAAAUUGUAAGUUUCAUUGCUGCACACAACUUGUUUUACAGCACGUUUUUAGCAUGUAAGACAGUGGUGCUAUAUAUAAAAUACAGCCAGUCUUGCUCUUAGCUGAUUGGUUGCCUUUCCUUUGCUGCUUAUGUCAUGUUUUCCAGAGAGACACAUUCUACAGCUGUUGCUGUCAUUUAAG